ensembl:lncRNA
GGGACACCACCACUGGCAUGAACACUGACCGCUACACCAGAGACAGCCAGACUCAACAACUGUGUGUUGGACUUUUGUCAUAAUAAAUCACUUCAUGAGGACGCCUCAAUUUUCAGUCUUAAACCAGCCAAAAGGCAGAAGAGAACCCACAAUUUCUGGAACCACACCACAGGUGUGGACUCUAACCGCUACACCAUAGCGGGACAGACACAGAACCUGAGUGUUGGACUUUUGUCAUAAUAAAUGACUUCAUGAGGCUUUUCAGCCUUAAACCAACAAAAAUGCAGAACAGAACAGAACAGAACCCACACCUUCUGGGCCGCCACCACUGGCAUGAACUCUAACCACUACACCACAGAGGGACAGACUCAACAUCUGUGUGUUGGACUUUUGUCAUCAUAAAUCACUUCAUGAGGCUGCAGAAAUUUUUUGUCUUAAACCAGACAAAAGACAGAAGAGAACCGACACCUUCUGGAACCCCAACACUGGCUUUAAUCAAUACACCACAGAGGGACUGAUGCCAAUACUGUGUGUUGGACUUUUGUUAUCAUAAAUCACUUCAUAAGGAGGCAGCACUUCUGUGUCAUAAACCAGCCAAAAGGCAGAAAAGAACCCACACCUCUUCGAACCCCAAGACUGGCAGGAACGCUAACAAGAACCACUAAACCACAAUGCUACAGAAGGAGCACCUGUGUGUGUGUGUGUGUGUGUUUGGACUUCAUGAAACACUUCCAAUACAACAGCACAGUUUAUUCUUAAUCCAGCCAAAAGGUAGACUAGAACCUGAACCAUCAGUUAUAGCACUCUCUAACCACUACACCACAGAAGGAACAAGUAAAAACAACAAAUAAGAAAAACCUGGACCUGACGCUGAUACGAGGAACGUUAGAUGCAGGUCAGUGUUGUGGUUACCUUCCUUUUACAGUAGAGUAUAGUACAGUGUGGUGUAGUAUAGUAUUGUGUAAUAUAGUACAGUACAGUGUGGUAUAGUAUAGUAUAUGUUAGUAUAGUAUAGUAUAGUGUAAUAUAGUACAGUACAGUGUGGUAUAGUAUAGUGUAAUAUAGUACAGUACAGUGUAGUAUAGUAUAGUAUAGUGUAAUAUAGUAUAGUACAGUACAGUGUGGUGUAGUAUAGUAUAGUGUAAUAUAGUACAGUACAGUGUGGUAUAGUAUAGUGUAAUAUAGUACAGUACAGUGUGGUAUAGCAUAGUGUAAUAUAGUACAGUACAGUGUGGUAUAGUAUAGUGUAAUAUAGUACAGUACAGUGUGGUAUAGUAUAGUGUAAUAUAAGUACAGUACAGUGUGGUAUAGUAUAGUGUAAUAUAGUACAGUACAGUGUGGUAUAGUAUAGUACAUGUUAAUAUAGUACAGUACAGUGUGGUAUAGUAUAGUGUAAUAUAGUACAGUACAGUGUGGUAUAGUAUAGUGUAAUAUAGUACAGUACAGUGUGGUAUAGUAUAGUGUAAUAUAGUACAGUACAGUGUGGUAUAGUAUAGUGUAAUAUAGUACAGUACAGUGUGGUAUAGUAUAGUGUAAUAUAGUACAGUACAGUGUGGUAUAGUAUAGUGUAAUAUAGUACAGUACAGUGGUAUAGUAUAGUAUAGUGUAAUAUAGUAUAGUACAGUACAGUGUGGUGUAGUACUGUGUAAUAUGUAAAAUAAAUGCAUUUCCAUCUACUUUAACUGAUCUCAACCAUACAAAUGUUUACGCUUGUUUGACCAAAUCACCUGUCAGUCAGCUCACUCAAACAUUUUGUAUCUGUUUCCUCAGCAGUGUUGUUUGUCCUAAUGUUGUAUGCAUCUUGCUCUGAACGACUGACUCUACUAUCUGUACUAUGUUUUACAUUUUUAGUGCUUGAUUGUUUGUCGUUUUUCACUUUUUGUGUUAGUUCAUUCUUUAUGUGUUAUUGUAUUAGUAUUGUAAAGCAUCGCUCAGCGUUGGAAAGGCGCUAUAUAAAUGAAACAUAUAUGUAUACACUCAGACAGAUACUCUCUCUCUCUCUUCUCGUCUCGUCCUCCCUCCACUGCUCGUCGUCUGCUCCACUCGGAGAUGAAGUUUGUUUGUUUCUGCAUCGUGAGCUGUAAUUAACGUUUCACUAAUUACUGUGAUUUACACUGACAAAGAGGCAGAGAGGAGAAUAAACACCCCGAAUCACUCGCAUAACUUUAAUAUGCACUGACUGACAUUAAACACACACACACACACAGUCCUCAAUAUGGAAGCAUUUAGAUUAUUUUGUACACGUUUCAUUUCAACACUUGAAACACUCUGUGUACAUUUAUUAGCUGUGAAAGUCGUACGUUUUGUAUCACAGCCCUCUGAGUUUGGAGGGAAAAACUUCAUCUUGACGUUUUUACCAUGCGGAAAAUCCAGAAAUCAUCCUAAACAUCUCGUUCAUUUAUAUAAUAUAGAUAAUGUGCCUUAAAAUGAUCUAUUAAAAACAUCGGUGUUAUCAUUUAACUGGUAAUGAAGUGCUUACUUCUUCAGGUUUAGUGUGUGCGUGUGUGGUGAUGAUGAAGUCAUCUUCUUGUUUAUAGUUCAUUAUAGAAAGUGGAACAGUUUUCCAGCACCUUCAGGACGGAGGAGUUUACGUUUCUUUGCGGUUUCUCGGUAACAUGACGAGCUGUGUUCGGAUGUUUAUAGCUGUUAUAACGUACGUGAGGACAGGAACUAUAAACGGAUAAAAAGUACGACGUAUCGUUCUGGGGUACUGUAAAUACAUUUGGAAUUUAAUGACUGUAAUGGUGGUAAUUGUGACUCUGGUUUAAUGCCUGGAAGCAGUGCGGCUCGACAGUUUCUGUAUUUGUGUUUUAGUAAUAUUCCGUCUCUGGUUGUGAACUUCGGCUCUAGUCUGGAUUACGAGUAUGGAUUUAACCUUGUUAAUCAUUAAUCGCAAAAAAAAAAAAAAAAAAAAAUGCCUUGAUGAAAAAUCAAUCUGCGAUGUUUCUACCCAAAAGUACAAAAAAGAGGUCAGACGAAUUACAGAGAGAUUAAUUUAUCACCUCUGAUGUGAUUUAGUGCAGUCUGAAGAUCACUUCAGGGACAAACAGUGCGAGUGUAAAUGAGUGAACGUGAAAACCAGGCUCCUGCCGUCCUGAUCACAAUCACAAUCACACACGCCGAGUUCGGGGUCGCCGCAUACUGAAAUUACACACAUCGGUACUCAGAGGUCAGACGUACUGUAACUACUGACUAGAGCGCUAUUCGGAAGUUACGCACACUGCGGUGGAGUUCGGCUCGGGUAUGUCCGACUUAUUUCACGAAUGCGUUCAAAAACACUAAGGAAUAUCAAUAAUAUAUCGACACUGAAUAUUUAAGGAUGAUAUUAAAUACAUAAACACGCAAUAAAUUCAUCAUAUUGUCUUUGUAAAGUCCACUUUCUUUUUUCCUACUCAGAGACAUCGCUUACUUUGAGGAUUAUAUAUGGAUAAAAUGAUGAAUGUGAGCUGUAAGCAUAGGUCAGCUUAUCCUUCAAACCGCGGACACCUGUUCUUUACCGAAUGAACAGUAACACGGGCGUUCUUUAUUGACUCAAAACUAAAAGUGAAUUAAAAGUCAAAUAAAAUCGGCUGUACCGCGCGCACACGUUACGAUUUCAUGACCUCGAUUUAGUAUGUCACGGUUUUAUUAAGUUGUGCGGAGGAUAUGAAAAGGUAAAAUAUAAAAUAAUAUAACGUGCUGGACUCUGAACACGGCGAGAGCUGAAACAGGUCUCAUCGCCUCUCCUCACUCCGAGGAGCUCGUAUUACAGCCUACGUCCUCGCUACGUCUUUAUCGGACAUGCAGAAGGAACGUAGGAUGGAAAAAGAGCAGCGCUGAUAAUAACCCGGAGAACAUCACCGAUCUCCGAGGUCGUCCGUGUUCUGCAGGAGGUUCGGUGAUCUUCACCAAAAUAGUAUUCGCUAGAACGAGGACAUGCUACAUUUUUAGGAAAAAUAUUU